rnacentral:misc_RNA from 1 species
AAGACUAUAGACCUGCGGAGUACCUGCGGAGGGAUCAUUAAAGAAAGCUUUAGGCUUUUCUUUUUUUAAAUUCAACUGCUGUCUUUUCCUGUGUUGCUUCUGCUAGAUAGUUCUUUACACUUGAUAGCAGAAGGUUUAUAUUUAUGCUAUUAAUAAGUAUAUGAAGUCUGAAUAAAAAUAAGAAAUUAUUUAAAAACUUUUAGCAACGGAUCUCU